GACACGGUGGCUGAGAGGUUAAGCGCAUGGUUUCCGAACAUGGGCUCCUGGGUUAGAAUCUCGGUUGAGACU
rnacentral:tRNA from 1 species